AAAAAGAGAAGUCUCAAGGCAUUGACCUGACAGUUUAUGGAUCAUCAAAGGUUGUUGGUACUCAAGCUCCAGUUCAACUUGGGUCACUCCGUGCGGCUGAUGGUAAAGAGUAAUUAGUUAAUAUCCAGAUAAUCUGAUCGGGCUGCAUCAGUGCAACCCGAGCUAUAUACUAGAUGUUAUCAAAAGUUGCUAUUACUACCCACUACAUUCUCUGUAGUAUUUUGAUGUUUCUGGGUACUAUUAUAUGACACUAUUCUAUUCAAUUUUAUAUUGCCCUUUCA
rnacentral:misc_RNA from 1 species